rfam:Triticum aestivum genome assembly, contig: Triticum_aestivum_CS42_TGACv1_scaffold_641715_T_2AL-0.156519_2AS-0.093501
CAACUACUCCCUCUGACCCAAAUUUCUUGUCUUAGAUUUGUCUAGAUACGGAUGUAUCUAAUACUAAAAUGUGACUUGAUACAUCAGUAUCUAGAAAAAUCUAAGACAAUAAUUUUGGGAUGGAGAGAGUACUUU